rnacentral:lncRNA from 1 species
CCAGGGGCGUGCAGAGCCCGGGGCGAGGGCCCCUGGCUGCGCUCGCGGUGCUCGGAGCUGCGCUCGGAGCUGGAGGCGCUCAGCCAGGAGUACCAGUCCUGCCUGACCCGGCUGCGGCAGUGCCGCGACGAGCUGCGCCGCUCCCACGGCGGCCAGGCGCAGAGACGGCGCGGUCCCUGCAUCCCUCUCCUGCUGGCAGUGGCAGCAGUGGCCAUCGCCGCCUUCCUGGCGAGUUACGGGCUCUGAAGGAGCUCCUUGAUGACUGACUUCACUGCAGGCACUGACCUCUG